rnacentral:misc_RNA from 1 species
UUGUGGAGGAGGACGCCGAAGGUGGGGCUAAUGACUGGGGUGAAGUCGUAACAAGGUAGCCGUACCGGAAGGUGCGGCUGGAUCACCUCCUAACAGGGAGACAACAAAAUGUAAAUAUUAAUUUUGUCACCUUAGGUCGAUCGGUAUCUCAGAUUCUUAAACAUAAGAAUUUCAGUUUCUAAGUUUUUUCUAGGUCACACCCAUUACUUUUUCCUGGGCCAUUAGCUCAGGUGGUUAGAGCGCACCCCUGAUAAGGGUGAGGUCCCUGGUUCAAGUCCAGGAUGGCCCAUAUCUCUAUGUUGGGGGUAUAGCUCAGUUGGUAGAGCGCCUGCUUUGCAAGCAGGAUGUCAGCGGUUCGAGUCCGCUUACCUCCACUGAAUACCACCUUUUACAUAUUGUAAAAAAGGGAAAUUGUUUUGAGUAGUAUCCUAUUUACUCUGAGCGAAUCUAGCUUCCUAUUUUAUUUAAUAAAAUAAGAUGCUGGACUCAUUGAAUUAUUAUUCAUUGUUCUCAGAGAACCUUGACAACUGCAUAGAUUAUUUUUGAAGACAAUAAGCAUCUUGAAUGAUGCAGAUUUAUUAUUUGUGCGAAUGCAUUAAAUAACAAUUCUAUUAAGCUGAUGCUUCAAAUAUUGAAGUUAUUGGUCAAGCUACAA